GACGAACGCUGGCGGCGUGCUUAACACAUGCAAGUCGAACGGUGAAGCGCCUUCCUUUUUGGUGGGUGUGGAUGAGUGGCGAACGGGUGAGUAACACGUGAGUAACCUGCCCCCUACUUCUGGAUAACCGCAUGAAAGUGUGGCUAAUACGGGAGAUUCUGGGUCUGUCGCAUGUUGGGUCUGGGCAAGAUAUUGUUUCGGUGGGGGAUGGGCUCGCGGCCUAUCAGCUUGUUGGUGGGGUGAUGGCCUACCAAGGCGGUGUCGGUUAGCCGGCCUGAGAGGGUAGACGGUCACACUAGGAGUGAGACACGGCCCAGACUCUGACGGGGGGCAGCAGUGGGGAGUAUUGCGCGAUGGGAGCAAGCCUGAUGCAGCGACGACGCGUGAGGGAUGGAGGCCUUCGGGUUGUGAACCUCUUUCGCCAGUGAAGCAGGCCUGCCUCGUUUGUGGGUGGGUUGACGGUAGCUGGAUAAGAAGCGCCGGCUAACUACGUG
rnacentral:rRNA from 1 species